rnacentral:rRNA from 1 species
AACGAACGCUGGCGGCAGGCCUAACACAUGCAAGUCGAACGCACCGCAAGGUGAGUGGCGCACGGGUGAGUAACACGUGGGAAUGUACCCUUUGGUUCGGAAUAACGUUUGGAAACGAACGCUAAUACCGGAUGAGCCCUGCGGGGGAAAGAUUUAUCGCCAAAGGAGCAGCCCGCGUCUGAUUAGCUAGUUGGUGGGGUAAAGGCCUACCAAGGCGACGAUCAGUAGCUGGUCUGAGAGGAUGAUCAGCCACACUGGGACUGAGACACGGCCCAGACUCCUACGGGAGGCAGCAGUGGGGAAUAUUGGACAAUGGGCGCAAGCCUGAUCCAGCCAUGCCGCGUGAGUGAUGAAGGCCUUCGGUUGUAAGCUCUUUCGCACGCGACGAUGAUGACGGUAGCGUGAGAGAAGCCCGGCGUAACUUCGUAGCCAGCAGCCGCGGU